AAUUAAAAAGUAGGGCUCGGGGUUGUAAGACAACAACGCGGCAAAAGCCGGAAGAGUUACCAAACAGUCGGUUAGUCGAAAACGCUGGGAAGCGUUGCCCCAGAGGGUAAUAGCCCCGUAGACGAAAACUGAACUGUCUCUUUAGUUGUUGAUCUUGAGUACCUCGGGACAUGAAUAGCCCGGGGGAAGCAGGGAGGACUAACUCCCAAGGCUAAAUACUCUUAGAGAUCGAUAGUGAACAAGUACCGUGAGGGAAAGGUGAAAAGAACCCCGGCGAGGGGAGUGAAAUAGAUCUGAAACCAUACGUUUACAAGGAGUCGAUGAGGGCGCAUCACACGGUGUGUGAUCUUCAGCUAUCAGCUGUAAGCUCAUAGCUUUUAGGAAUUCCCUGAAAGCUGACAGCUAAAAGCUAAAAGCUGAUUUAUCGCGCUUCGCGCGAUGCGUCCUCUACGGCGUGCCUAUCGUAGAAUGAGCCAACGAGUUUAUCUGAUUCCUUUGUCUAAAAGGUUAAACCCUUGAAGGCACAGCGAAAGCGAGUGUUAAUAGCGCGUUAUUGAGGGAUCGGAUAAGACCCGAAACCGGGUGAGCUUACCAUGGGCAGGGUGAACUCCGGCGAGAGCCGUAGGGAGGCCCGAACCGAAUGGCCGUACAAAACCAUCGGAUGACCUGUGGUAAGGAGUGAAAAGCUAAUCGAACCCGGUAAUAGCUGGUUCUCUCCGAAAUAGCUUUAGGGCUAGCGUCAAGUACACCCGCACACCAACUUUGGCAUUGUGUUUUGUUGCAGAUUGAGCCAAAGCCGGUAAAUUAACAUCGACAUUCAAUGCAUCUGUGGCAAAGAUAACGAAAACACGGUGCAACGAUGCCAAGGUUGGUGUGCGGGUAAAUUGCUCUCGGGGGUAGAGCACUGAUAGGAAUGAAUAGGGGGAAACCUCGUCAUUCCUACCAAACUCCGAAUACCGAAGAGUUAUAGCUUGGCAGUUAGGCCGCGGGCGCCAAGGUCCGUUGGUCGAGAGGGGAACAACCCAGACCUCCAGCUAAGGUCCCAAAAUCCACGCUAAGUGCAUCAAAGGUGGUGAAGUUUCUCAGACAAUGAGGAGGUUGGCUUAGAAGCAGCCAUCCUUCAAAGAAAGCGUAACAGCUCACUCAUCAAGAGACUUUGCGCCUAAAAUAAUCGGGGCUCAAGUGUGGUACCGAAGCUGAGGCUGAGUUCUUGUUCGCAAGGACUCGGGGUAGGAGAGUAUUCCACACUGCGCUGAAGCGGAAGGGGUGACCCACCGUGGAGCGUGUGGAAGCAAGAAUGUUGGCACAAGUAACCGCAAGGCAGGUGAGAUCCCUGCCCGCCGAAAGACCAAGGUUUCCUUGGCAAUGUUGAUCAGCCAAGGGUUAGUCGGUCCUAAGCCGAUGGCGAAAGCCGCAGGCGAUGGAUACACGGUUAAUAUUCCGUGACCCGAUGUUAUUGCGACGGGAGGACGGAGGUUAGUAGUCCGGGCGGUUUAUCGGAUUACCGUUCUUGGCUUGAGGGUGUGGCAUAGGCAAAUCCGUGCCACGUCAGCCCAAGAGCAGAGGAAAGGGAGGCCUUCGGGUCUCUUGAUCCGGAUGAGCAACCUUCCAAGAAAAGUCUCUAAGCUUAAAUAACAUCGGACCGUACCCCAAACCGACACAGGUGGUCGGGUCGAGUAGACCAAGGCGAACGAGUGAAAGGUCCCCAAGGAACUCGGCAAACAAGCGGCCGUAACUUCGGGAUAAGGCCUUCCCUCCCCACUUUUGGUAUAAUUAUAGAGUAUGUAUAUUCUCUAUUUGAUCCAAAACAAUGUUACCCAUGAUAAAUAUCUCGGUAUCACGACAGAUCUGAAAAAAUCAAAACUAAUAACAGUAAAGGCAGUAAGUUUAAGAGCAAAAAGAUCGGUAAGUUGAUAUUAAUAUAUGCGGAAAUGUAUAGAUCAUCUACAGAUGCUUACCGUCGUGAAAGAGGAUCGAAAAAUCAUGGCAGUGCAAAAGUUGGAUUGAUCAAGCGGAUUAAUGAUAGUUUGCUUGAUGCCAAAAGUGGGGAGGGACGCAGCUAAAGUUUCUCCGGCAACUGUUUAUCAAAAACACAGCUCCCUGCGAACUCGCAAGAGGAUGUAUAGGGGGUGACGCCUGACCAAUGCCGGAAGGUUAAGUACUGAUGGUCUAAGGAAGUUUACUUUCUUAUGCUGGUCGGUAUAAGCCCCGGUGAAUGUCGGCCGUAACUAUAACGGUCCUAAGGUAGCGCAAUUCCUUGUCUGGUAAGUUCAGACGCGCACGAAGGGUGUAAUGACCGGAGAGCUGUCUCGGGGACUUGCUCGGUGAAAAUGCAAUGCCGGUACAAAUGCCGGCUACCUGCAGUUAGAAGAAAAGACCCCGUGAAGCUUUACUACAGCUUGAUAUUGGGGGUACGACUUAUUUGCGUAGCAUAGGUGGGAGACUUUGAAGUGUCGCUUUCGGGUGGCAUGGAGUCGCCAGUGAAAUACCACCCUCUUAGGUUGUAUUCUCUAACCUGGACGGCAAAAACGGACAGGGACAGUAUCUGGCGGGUAGUUUGAGUGGGGCGCUCUUCUCCUAAAAAGUAACGGAGAAGCCUAUUAAGGUCGGCUAGGCGCGAAUGGAAACCGUGCCGAUAGUGUAAUGGCACAAGCCGGCUUGACUGUGAGAGGGACAUCUCGAACAGGUGCGAAAGCAGAGCAUAGCGAUCCGACGGCCCGCAUUAGAUGCGGCCGGAGCUCAACGGAUAAAAGCUACUCCGGGGAUAACAGGCUGGUCCCGCCUAAGAGUCCAUAUCGACGGCGGGGUUCGGCACCUCGAUGUCGGCUCACCUUAUCCUGGGGGUGAAGAAGCUCCCAAGGGUUUGGCUGUUCGCCAAUUAAAAAGGUACGCGAGCUGGGUUCAGACCGUCGUGAGACAGGUCGGUCUCUAUCUACUGCAGGCGUCGAUUCUUGAGAAGCGCUGCUCCUAGUACGAGAGGACCGGAGUGGACUGACCUCUGGUGUAUCAGCUGUCGCGCCAGCGGCACUGCUGAGUAGCUAAGUCGGGAUUGGAUAACCUCUGAAGGCAUCUAAGAGGGAAGCCAGCUUCAAGAUUAGGAAUCAUUUGAGGCCCCUGGGAGACGACCAGGUUGAUAGGCUCUAGGUGUAAGCACGGUGACGUGUUCAGCCGAGGAGUACUAAUGGCCGAUUCCUGUUAG
rnacentral:rRNA from 1 species